rnacentral:lncRNA from 1 species
AAAGUGUCACAUCGGAGUUUGGGAUUGGUUCUGGUAUCAUUUUAUAAUGACCCAUUUCCUCUAAUAUGGAUGUCGGUCAUUAGAUUUAAUCAGAAAAAUUGACCUACUUGGUUUUGGUCAUUGAAGAUGUGUGGUGUCUCCCACACCAGAUCCAUUCUAAGUUUACGGACAAACUUGGUUUCCAGAUUGCCUAUAUACGUCGUCACACAUGUCUGCCACUUGACCACAUUCUCAUGGAACCUUAUAAACAAAAAUGUAAAAUCUACCAGUCGGUGGGUGAUGGGAGUGCUUUCCUUCUUAAUUAUAUGUAUCAUUCUCUCUUGCUUGGCUUCAUCAGCCCUCCUCUCUUCUCUCUAUAAAUCUGCCGACCCUGCCCAGUUGUUAUUCCCCCCCUUUCUCUUCUUCUCAGCCUUGGAGAUUGAAAACAACUCCAAAAGAAAUAGUUAAGUAAUAGGUACCCAGAACAGUUAGUGGUGUUGCAUGUGCUCUGGAAUCAGUGUGGUUGCUUUAUU